UUUUUUUUUCCUUCCCUUUAUUUUUAUUUUCUUUCUUUUUACAUUUACUUCCAUCACUUUGGCCUUCCCAUCAAUGUUUCUGUUCAAUAUUUUUAUUUUGCUCCUUUAUUUCUCAAAUCCCUCCAACAAUCUUUAUAUUAUAGCAAUUGACUAGCUCAAGAAAGAGUAUUCUAAUCUCUUCAACUUUGAAUUAUUAUCCUCAAGCAAAAGCCAAAAUUGGCAUUGCUUUGAAAGUGCAAGCUUGUGGACAUAAAUUUGCCAUCAAAUGAGGAAGACUGGAGGAUGGAGUGCUGCAAAGAUACUAAUUUUAGAGAUGCUAGCCAAGAUCAAGAAGAAGGAUCCCAGCAUGUACAAGCCAAAGGUGAAGUUUUCCGAUAACAAUGGUGAUGAAAUCCAGGAAGAGAAGGCUUUGAAGGAGAGGAAGAAACCAAUGUACUUGAAAGAUGUUCUGGCUAAGCAAGUUCUGGAAAAUCCUGAGGGGGACAAGGAUUGAAAUCCUCCACAACACUCACUUCAUUUAUCUGCAGCAUCAGGAUCCAAAAUUCUAAUACUUUCAAGGUCCACCCCCAGCAUGAAAGCUCGGCUGGAAGGUCGUCUAUGUAGCUCAGCAAAAGAGCCAGCCACAUUGUCCUCGAGGGAUUGUCAAUGAAACAUUUGCCAUUGAUAAAGACGACCUUCUAGGAGGUGUUCUUCCAAAGUUGCCAAAGAUAUCCAGCCACAGUAGCAAGAGCAGUGGUCUGGAGGAAGGUUGUCAUUAUCCAAAGUGCCGUGUCUCAAGGCCGAUACGAAACUUUUUAUCUCCGUAAGAGUGAGCGACCCAUGUACAUGUAUGUUUUACUCCAUUCCAGAGAAAGCGGAAGUAUGGAGCUCCCGAAAAGUCGCAUGGCUUGUCCAGUCAGUGCCAUCGUCAGCAAAAUCUGCGGUCAGGUUCUCGUUCAGCUUCUUGGCCCAGGCGAUCUUGUCUAACACAAAAAAUUAUGGCCUAGACAUCAUUUUUACCAGGCACCUAAGAAUCGGCUGGAGGAAGUCCCGCUGCUGGCGCUGAUGCUGUGAGAGGCACAAUAAAGUCUAUGGAGGAAUGGCCACAGAAUUAAACACAGCCAAAGGGCAAACGGGGGUGAGAAUGACCACAAGGAUGCGGAGAUUACCAGAUAUCCACACAGAAAGAAAGAAACAGAUUCAGGAAGCAAAAAUCCUUAACCGUGACCAGACAGGGAAAGCAAAGCAGGACAGUGGAGCCGCUCCGGGAUAAAGAGUUGCUGCUGCUCCGGGUGAAAGAGAGGCUGCUGCGGGAGAGGAGAACUCGGUUAGUCAUCUCUUCCAUGUGUGGUUAUGGUCAGGGAUUUCGCGACACAGAUCUGAGAGACGAAGGGGUACUCGACAGAGAGGGCUACCAGAUUAGCAGCGACGAAAUUUGAAAGAAAAGGCAUCGCGGAAUGACCAAGUAAAACACAAGACAGACAUGAAAAGCAAACAAAGGGGCUUUGGAGGAACGCACAGACUUGUGAGCAGAACUGAGCAAACUAUAGUGUCAGGCUACCAGUCAUCCCAAAAAGAAGACACCCAACUAAACAGACAGCAUUAAAGUAGCAUCCAGAACUGGACAAAUGGAAUACCAAGAACUGGACAGAAAAUGGGCUUUCCCAAUUGCUUACCAGAUCCGUGCACUGCAACAUUCAGAACAAAACAAAGUUAGUAUUAGAUCUAGAAGAAAAAACCAGGGUCUCAACAGCCAUAGCCAUACAAGGACGACCAAGGGAGCAUGCGUCAGCAUAGCCAAAAGCCACACUUCCAGCAACCCAAAAUAAAAGCGAAUUGAAGCCACCUCUGGCAAAAUCCUUAACCAUGGCCGAAAGCAGCCAUAGCCACAUGGAACCACACACACAGCAAAACGCCCCAAAUCGAGGGGGAAAGCUAAAUACACAAAGAAUGACUUACCAUUACAUUGGAGGAGGAGGAGUUCCUUCUUCCGCAGCUGUAAUUUUUCCUUCCGCAGCUGUUCUUUUUCCUUCCGCAGCUGCUCUUCCUUCUUCUGCCAAUAGUCCGCCAGAGAUAGAUUGUCACUCUGAAAGGCAGAGAGAAAAGAUUUCCCAGCCGCUUGGAUCUGCGGCUCAAGAAGCCCGAUUUGAGCCUCCAC
rnacentral:lncRNA from 1 species